CCAAUUUUGUAGUGUUAGUAGCAGGUAUAGGUAGAUGGCCACCGCUGCCGCCACCGGCAUCCACCUGCAUGAUCUGCCGGAGCCAAUCCUGACGCACAUCUUCUCGCUGGUGUGCGACGUCCGCAGCCGCAACGCCAUGUCGCUCGCCUGCCGCCGGUGGCGCACCCUGGAGCGGACCACGCGCACGUCCCUCGUCCUCCGCGGCCACGUUCGCUCCCCCUUCCUCCUCCCCACCUGCUUCCCCGCGGUUGCUCACCUCGACCUCUCCCUUCUCUCGCCCUGGGGCCACCAUCCCUUCCUCCUUC
rnacentral:lncRNA from 1 species